UACAAGUAACACGGAGAGAGACUUUACGCUCUAUACGAGAUUGGUAACGAUACAAAUCGUUUUACAUAAAAAUAUAUUCACAGCAGAAUUAUUAUACUGAUCGACAGCGAGGAUGUUAAGUGUGGACAAUAUAGCGGACGUAGACACUAGUGCAUUAACGAUGCGCGUGCGGCCAUGCAGACCAAAGAGUGACCAGAACACGAACAUGACUGGAUCUAGGCGGACUAUAUGUUUGCCAACAGUGAUGGUCAUAGCUCUUAUAACCCUUUUAUUGCCCAUUCCACGGGCGUCUGCAAUGCCGGGAGGGUACCUGUGCCACGCACAAAUCACGUGUUUAAAUGGUGGAAUUUUACGGACUCCGGACAACCCAUUUGACUUUUGUCGCUGCCACUGUCCAAAACAUUUCGCCGGACUGAGAUGCGAGUUCAACAGGAAGUUCCGGAGAAAUAACCGGCUAAAGCGACUCGUGAGGAUCAAGCAAGAAAUGCUGCGGGAGCUUUUAAACCGCCGCCACCUUAGAUGAUCAUUGUGGUGAUCAGCGACCAGACUUAACUUAUUUAUUGGAGUUUCACGGGUUAACUGCUAUCCAGUCACGAGGGCACACCGACAAACAGACGGGCGAACGAUUCAAGAUUCCCGGUCCCUUGGCGACACCAUCAUCCAACUAUCACAGAAAUUAAUCAACGGAAAUACCAUUUCCAUUACAAUUAGAAAAGAGGCAUUAUCUACCGACCUUUGCAAAGGAUGCAAUCAAUAUAGACGAGAAUGACAUACACGGAUAUGAAUGGGGAAUUAACACAGCGGAAUGUUCUUUUCUUGUGACGAUAUUAAUGGAAGGCUUCAUUCGGAUCUAGUUUGAUCUCCACAGGAACCCAAUUGAUACAGCCUACAUAUACAAUCAUACAAUAACUUCGCGUUAAGUGAUUAAAGUAACCACCCGGAGGAUAGGACUUAGCGUGACUAUUUUAACACAGUAUGUGACAUGAGUCUAACAUUGCAUUCAGAACUUGUCCGUAGAUGGCACUAGUUCGACUUUUAUUAGGAAAAGAAGAAGGCGGUUUUAUAUGAUGCUGAUGUCAUAUGAAGAAGGUGUGCCCCGGGUGUUUAAUUUCGAAUGUAAACUUGUCAGAAUGGUUGGACAAUUGAAUAUACCCGUUUUAAUAGCGAUACAGUGAUGAGUGGCCAGUAACAUUUCUAGUCAAGUUGUGAUGUCAUAACUUUUCGAAAUCCCUGAUGACGUCUAGUCCUCGUGUCGGUGUUCCUUCUGGUUUACCAUGAGUCUUUCAUUCCGUCCAUUCACUCAAUCAUGUUUGUUUUUAUUUUAAACUAAUUUAUUGACAUUUUUCAUUAUUUAUUUUCAUCGUUUUCUUCAUUUGUUUGAUCAUCUACCAUUAAGUAGAAAUACACUCCAUAAACGGUUCAAAUAUAAUUCGAAUCGUUUGCACCCAUCAUAAAUAUCAACUGAUGUGUUCAAACAUUGUCACUGCCUCGUUGCACUUAUUAGGUGUAACGUAUUACAGUAUAUGCCAUGUACAAAUAUAUAUCAAAUAACAACCAGUUUUGAUAUUAUUAACGUUACAUUUAUGAUAAGUUUCUACACUUCCCAAGAUAUGCGCGAAUUUUGAAAUUAUUCUGCAUUCUCAUUUUUGUUUAACUCUGUUAAAGUCAUUUUAAAGACAUUUAUUAAUUGGAAAAUGUAAAUUGUUUUUUGACAAGCAAACGACGUUGCACGACAUCGCUGCAUAAUUCUCCAUUGUGUUUACACUAUUUAUUUCCUCUCAUUAUUCAUCGUUUAUAUCUGAUGUUUUAUUGACACACUUGUCUUUUCUAUUUUCGGCGACAGUACCAUAUUUAGAUUUUUGAUUGAGUUGUUGUUUUUAUCCUGUCGCGAAGAAAAUGUAGUGUGGUUGUUAUGUUUUGAAAUGUACCGCCACAACUUCCGGUUCGUAAAGAACAUGCAGUUGUAAAACUCACGUUCUUCCGCAAGCAUGGGCACCACAAGACACUGUUUGGUAAACGUGGCACGACCACUUUCAGUUAAUGACUUCUGAUAAUCUUGACCUUUUGGCAUGUGGUAAAUAGUCAGACACAUCAAAUUGAUAAAUAUUUUGAUAAAGUUCUAAGCCACAUUUUUUCUAACAACUUCAUAUCCUUAAAAUGUAUUUUGCUUUAGUUCAACUUUUGACAACAACUUUUUUGUGAUUAUUUUUUGUUAUGACUUGUAUUCAAUUAUUUUAUAGAAUAUACACUAUUUAUUUUUAUUAGAUUAUUCAAAUAUACUCUUAUUUCCGGUGGGUUUUCCAUUUGUUUACAUUCCAUCAUACCAUCUCAUGUUACAUCGUUUUAAAUUAUUGGCGCUAUUGCAAAGCCGUCGCUCAUCGUCCCAUUCGACUGUUUUAACCAUCGCAACUUAUACUUUCGGCAAUCAAAUCAACAUAGAAAGUCAAAAUAGAAAGCAUCUUUUAAAACUUCUUUACUUGGCUGCAUUAACAUAUUUUGACAGGAGCAUUUAAGUUACAUUUAUUUGACAAAUCAGAAGUAGAAAAUGACACAUACAGCGGAUGAAACCCAGUCAUAAGAACAUGCGUGAGUAAGCCCGCAUGUCACUCAUUAACAUCUCUCUGGACGUUUGCCGAGAGACAAACAUAAAAAUACAUUUUAGCGUGAUUUUCCUGUUCGUAAUGAACAACCCCGAGCUUCUGUUGCAAUGGUAAAGCUGUAUAUCGAGACCAUCCCCCCGUCCUCACCUUUGUCCUCACCCUCGCCUAGUUCAUGUUACAUGUUACCAUUGUUUUGCUCACUAUGUGUAUUUAUGUUUGUUUUUUGUCGAUUUAAUUACAAUGAUAUUUGAGAAGAAAACAAACGAAAACAAUAAAAUAUUGCAAAUUGAA